rnacentral:misc_RNA from 1 species
CAAAGCUUCCGCAAGGCAAAAGACAC